rnacentral:rRNA from 1 species
AUACGGAGGAUCCGAGCGUUAUCCGGAUUUAUCGGGUUUAAAGGGAGCGUAGGCGGACGCUUAAGUCAGUUGUGAAAGUUUGCGGCUCAACCGUAAAAUUGCAGUUGAUACUGGGUGUCUUGAGUACAGUAGAGGCAGGCGGAAUUCGUGGUGGAGCGGUGAAAUGCUUAGAUAUCACGAAGAACUCCGAUUGCGAAGGCAGCCUGCUGGACUGUAACUGACGCUGAUGCUCGAAAGUGUGGGUAUCAAACAGGAUUAGAUACCCUGGUAGUCCACACAGUAAACGAUGAAUACUCGCUGUUUGAGAUAUACAGUAAGCGGCCAAGCGAAAGCGUUAAGUAUUCCACCUGGGGAGUACGCCGGCACCGGUGAAACUCAAAUGAAUUGGCGGGG